AACGUAGGGGACAAGCGUUAUCCGGAUUUACUGGGCGUAAAGCGUGCGUAGGCGGUUUUGUAAGUUUGGUGUGAAAUCUCCCGGCUCAACUGGGAGGGUGCGCCGAAAACUGCAAGGCUGGAGUGUGGGAGAGGUAGGCGGAAUUCCUGGUGUAGCGGUGAAAUGCGUAGAUAUCAGGAGGAACACCUGUGGUGUAGACGGCUUACUGGACCAUGACUGACGCUGAGGCACGAAAGCGUGGGGAGCAAACAGG
rnacentral:rRNA from 1 species